rnacentral:rRNA from 1 species
AGGGUGAGAAUCCCGUCUCUGGCAUGGACCUCUCCGAUGCUUCUGUGAUGCGCUCUCGAAGAGUCGAGUUGUUURGGAAUGCAGCUCAAAAUGGGUGGUGAACUCCAUCUAAAGCUAAAUAUUGGCGAGAGACCGAUAGCGAACAAGUACCGUGAGGGAAAGAUGAAAAGCACUUUGGAAAGAGAGUGAAACAGUACGUGAAAUUGUUGAAAGGGAAACGCUUGAAGUCAGUCGCGUCGUCCGAGACUCAGCCUUGCCUUGGCUUGGUGUACUUCUCGGCUGACGGGCCAGCAUCAAUUUCGUCCCUCGGAUAAUGGCAAGGGAAAGGUGGCACCCUUACGGGUGUGUUAUAGUCUCCUGUCGCAUGCGAGGGGUGGGAUUGAGGACCUCAGCAUGCGCCUGCUUGGUGUCGGGGCUUUGGCCCACGUGACGUGCUUAGGAUGUUGGCGUAAUGGCUUUAAACGACCCGUCUUGAAACACGGACCAAGGAGUCUAACAUGCCCGCGAGUGUUCGGGUGGAAAACCCGUGCGCGAAAUGAAAGUGAACGUUGGGACCUCUGUCGUGGAGGGCACCGACGCCCGGACCAGACCUUCUGUGACGGAUCUGCGGUAGAGCGUGCAUGUUGGGACCCGAAAGAUGGUGAACUAUGCCUGAAUAGGGUGAAGCCAGAGGAAA